rnacentral:sRNA from 1 species
AGCCAGUAUGACCAUAUGUAUGUGCGUGUGUGCGUUUAUUGUGCACCACAAUACACAAUAUACUAAUACUAAUACAUCAACAUCACACAUACAUGGCAACAUUUAAGCGCCUACAAGGAUGCUCGAGCAGAAGCUAAAACAAAUCACUAUCAGCCAAGAAAGCAACCAUAGAAAAUAAUGGAUGUAUUCAGCUAGUUCAACUAAAUCUUUAUACAUAUACACAAACCAAUUGGAAAGCGACCACUUUUGACUCAAUUAAUAGAGAGAAAAAGGCCGUCUUGCCACCGCAAUAAGAAGGAACCGCAACAAUAGCAAAGAGCUACUAAGCACUGCCAUCUAAAAAAAAACUGCAUCAAACUGCGAUUGAAUUCAGAAAAUAUAAUUGCAGCCAAGCAAGAAGAACAAGUAACAAUUAUAUUGCGCAAUAUAUAAAAAAUAUACAUAAAAACAUAGCAUAUAAAUAAAUAUGUGUGUAUAUACAUUUAACUAGACAAAAGAAAUUUUACAAAACAGACAAAACAGUGGAACAGCGGAGAAAGUAUUUUCCUGCGAAGAACAAAUUAUAUAAAAUAAUAAUUUACAAGGCUCCCAAGCUCGCACAUGGACAAGAAAAUGCACCAAACCCGAAGCUGAAGUGAAAAACUUAAACUAUAAGAAGAAAAAAAAAACAAAAAAAACAAAAUACACACACACACUCUUUGGGUUGUAAAGACAAACAAAGAAAGUAAAGUUGAUAAGAAAGCAGAAAACAUAAAAAUAAUAUUGCAGCUAAAGGCAAACAAUAAAACGUAUACUCGCCAUAUUGAAAAAUACAAAUAAAAGCAAAAAACAAGUUGAGCAUUUUUGUAAA